AUUGAACGCUGGCGGCAUGCUUUACACAUGCAAGUCGAACGGCAGCGCGGGCUUCGGCCUGGCGGCGAGUGGCGAACGGGUGAGUAAUGCAUCGGAACGUGCCCAGUAGUGGGGGAUAGCCCGGCGAAAGCCGGAUUAAUACCGCAUACGACCUGAGGGUGAAAGCGGGGGACCGAAAGGCCUCGCGCUAUUGGAGCGGCCGAUGUCGGAUUAGCUAGUUGGUGGGGUAAAAGCUUACCAAGGCGACGAUCCGUAGCUGGUCUGAGAGGACGACCAGCCACACUGGGACUGAGACACGGCCCAGACUCCUACGGGAGGCAGCAGUGGGGAAUUUUGGACAAUGGGGGCAACCCUGAUCCAGCCAUGCCGCGUGCGAGAAGAAGGCCUUCGGGUUGUAAACCGCUUUUGUUCGGGAAGAAAUCCUCUGGGCUAAUACCCCGGGGGGAUGACGGUACCGGAAGAAUAAGCACCGGCUAACUACGUG
rnacentral:rRNA from 1 species